rnacentral:rRNA from 1 species
AGUGAACGCUGGCGGUAGGCCUAACACAUGCAAGUCGAACGGCAGCACAGGAGAGCUUGCUCUCUGGGUGGCGAGUGGCGGACGGGUGAGGAAUACAUCGGAAUCUACUCUGUCGUGGGGGAUAACGUAGGGAAACUUACGCUAAUACCGCAUACGACCUACGGGUGAAAGCAGGGGACCUUCGGGCCUUGCGCGAUUGAAUGAGCCGAUGUCGGAUUAGCUAGUUGGCGGGGUAAAGGCCCACCAAGGCGACGAUCCGUAGCUGGUCUGAGAGGAUGAUCAGCCACACUGGCACUGAGACACGGUCCAGACUCCUCCGGGAGGCAGCAGUGGGGAAUAUUGGACAAUGGGCGCAAGCCUGAUCCAGCCAUACCGCGUGGGUGAAGAAGGACUUCGGGUUGUAAAGCCCUUUUGUUGGGAAAGAAAUCCAGCUGGCUAAUACCCGGUUGGGAUGACGGUACCCAAAGAAUAAGCACCGGCUAACUUCGUGCCAGCCGCCGCAGUAA